ensembl:lncRNA
CCCAGACAUGCCACCCAAGCCUCUAGCUGAUCUAAUCUAUACAGAGCCAGGAAGCUCAGCAGAACGUUGUUCGCAGACCCAACACACACACGCAGACCCAACACACACACGCAGACCCGACACACACACACAGACCCAACACACACACGCAGACCCAACACACACACACAGACCCAACACACACACGCAGACCCAACACACACACGCAGACCCAACACACACACACAGACCCAACACACACACACAGACCCAACACACACACGCAGACCCAACACACACCCACACAGACCCAACACACACACGCAGACCCAACACACACACGCAGACCCGACACACACGCAGACCCAACAUACACACGCAGACCCAACACACACACACAGACCCAACACACACACGCACACACACACAGACCCAACACACACACACAGACCCAACACACACACGCAGACCCAACACACACACGCAGACCCGACACACACGCAGACCCAACAUACACACACAGACCCAACACACACACGCAGACCCAACACACACACACAGACCCAACACACACACGCAGACCCAACACACACACACAGACCCAACACACACACGCAGACCCAACACACACACACAGACCCAACACACACACAGACCCAACACACACACGCAGACCCAACACACACGCAGACCCAACAUACACACGCAGACCCAACACACACACACAGACCCGACACACACGCAGACCCAACAUACACACGCAGACCCAACACACACACACAGACCCAACACACACACGCAGACCCAACACACACACACAGACCCAACACACACACGCAGACCCGACACACACACAGACCCAACAUACACACGCAGACCCAACACACACACAGACCCGACACACACGCAGACCCAACACACACACGCAGACCCAACACACACACGCAGACCCAAAACACACACGCAGACCCAACACACACACGCAGACCCAACACACACACGCAGACCCAACACACACACGCAGACCCAACACACACCCACACAC